rnacentral:rRNA from 1 species
GACGAACGCUGGCGGCGUGCUUAACACAUGCAAGUCGAACGAAGAGCGAUGGAAGCUUGCUUCUAUCACUCUUAGUGGCGAACGGGUGAGUAACGCGUAAUCAACCUGCCCUUCAGAGGGGGACAACAGUUGGAAACGACUGCUAAUACCGCAUACGAUCUGACCUCGGCAUCGAGGAUAGAUGAAAGGUGGCCUCUACAUGUAAGCUAUCACUGAAGGAGGGGAAUGCGUCUGAUUAGCUAGUUGGAGGGGUAACGGCCCACCAAGGCGAUGAUCAGUAGCCGGUCUGAGAGGAUGAACGGCCCCAUUGGGACUGAGACACGGCCCAGACUCCUACGGGAGGCAGCAGUGGGGAAUCUUCCGCAAUGGACGAAAGUCUGACGGGGCAACGCCGCGUGAGUGAUGACGGCCUUCGGGUUGUAAAGCUCUGUUAAUCGGGACGAAAGGCCUUUUUGCGAAUAGUGAGAAGGAUUGACGGUACCGGAAUAGAAAGCCACGGCUAACUACGUG